GCAAAAUAAGCAAGCACUUUGUAUCAAAUUCGAAGGCUGUUUUGGUAGAUUCCUUGCAACCACUAUAAUGAAGCUUAAGCAGUUAAGCUAUAAAAGAGCAAGUCUACCAAGUCUACUUAGUCCCGUGGAAGAAUUGAAGGGGCUGUGAGUCAGGCUCCAUGGCAUGGCUCUCAUGUCCUACCAGCCCAAUCAGGUGGGUAGAUACAGAUACAUGGCUUAUAUGUGAUUCUUAAAAGGAAAUUUUGCUGAAUUGGUGAUUUACCCAAUUGGGAUUGCUUUGCUCAUCCAGGCCAAAAUGCUUCAACAGAAGGUAUAUCACUGCUGCAUAUUGCUUCUAAUCAAAUUU